UUGCUAAGUUGGAAGGUGGAUGGGUAGGAAACUGCAGCACCGGUUGCACCAAUCAGGUUCCAGACGCAGCUUUGUCCUCUGCCUAACCAGUUUUUGUGGUGAAGGUGGAUGGGCUAGUAUUCAGCUCCUCUGAUGUGCUUUUGUCAGGUCCCAGAGGCAGCUUUGUCCUCGGCCUAUCCAACACGAAUGUGGAGGGGGGGAGGAAUGAAGUGCAGCAGAGAAUCCAGGGCCAGCCAGGUACCAGGGGCAGCUUUGUCCUCGGCCUAUCCCAUGUUGGCUGGUAAGGUGGAAGGUGGAUGGGAAAGGAAUCUGCGCCACUUAUCUGCGUCCAUCAGGUCUGAGAGGCAGUUUUGUCCACGGAGUUACUGCUGUGAAAUUGGAAGGUGGGUGGGUAAAGUAAGCUUUGCCAGGAAAGCUGGAAGCUAAUCAGGUCUCAAAGGCAGCUUUAUGCUAGGCCUAGCCGGUGUUGGCCGAGGAGGGGAAAGUGGAAUAGAGGAAGGAAAAGUGCGUCAUAGGAUUCUGGGCCUGUCAGUUGUGGGUUUUUUUUUUUUUUUUUUUUUCCCCUUUCUUCCAGACGUGUAGCCGGUGUUCGCCGCGGAAAUGGAAGAAGAGCAAGGGAUGGAAAGUGCAUCAUUAGGAUUCGGGGCCUUUCAGUUUUGUGCUAGAGCUAGCCGGUGUUGUCCGAGGAGGGGAAAGGGGAGCAGAGGAAGGAAAGUGCGUCAUCGGAUUCUGGGCCUGUCAGUUUUUUUCCCCCAGACAUGUAGCCUGUGUUCGCCGCGGAAGUGGAAGAAGAGCAAGGGAUGGAAAGUGCAUCGUUAGGAUUCGGGGCCUUUCAGUUUUGUGCUAGAGCUAGCCGGUGUUGUCCGAGGAGGGGAAAGGGGAGCAGAGGAAGGAAAGUGCGUCAUCGGAUUCUGGGCCUGUCAGUUUUUUUCCCCCAGACGUGUAGCCUGUGUUCGCCGCGGAAGUGGAAGAAGAGCAAUGGAAGGAAAGUGCGUCAUAGAUUCGGGAACAGUUUUGUUGUUGUUGUUUUGUUUUUAACCCAGACUUAGCCGUUGUUGGCCGCGGAGGGGAAAGGAGAGCAAGCGAAAGAAAAUGCGUCAUAGGAUCCGGGGUCUGCCAGAUCCCAGAGGUAGCUUUAUUCCAGGCCUAUUUAGUAUUCAUUGCGGAGGUAAAAGGAAGGAAAGAAAAUUCUUUGUAGACUCCGAGGCCUCUCAGAUCCUAAGAGGCAGCUUUAUUCUAGGUCUAUUUCUCAAAUGUUCGUUGCGGACUUGGUAGGUGGCGGAGCGGGGGUUGGGGGAGGGAGGAAAGAGAGGAAGAAAAUGCGUCAUAGAAUCCUGAGCCUGUCAAGUCCUUCAGGUAGCUUUGUUCUAGUCCUUGACAGUGUUUGCUGCGAAGGUGGAAGGAGGGAGGGGAAAGAAUUUACGUCAGAGAAUCCAGAAUCAAUCAUGUUUCAGAGGCAGUUUUGUCCUCGCCCUAGCCAGUGUUUGCCGCAGAGGAGGAGGGAGAGGGAGAAGAGUGGCAGCUUUAUUCUAAACCUUGCCUGUGUUUGCAGCGAACUUGCGAAAGGGGGAAGGAAGUUACGUCAUAGAAUCCAGGACCAAUCUGAUCGCGGGAGGGGCAGAGUCUUCAGCCUAUACAGUAUUUGCUGCGGACGUUGGGGGUGGGGUGGGGAAAUUAUGUCAUAGAAUCCAAGACCAAUCAGGUCGUAGGAGCCUAUCUCCUAUAUUACCUGCAAAGGUGGAAGAGAGCUAACGGGGAAGGUGAGGCCGAGACAAAAGCCAAUCAGAACCUAGAGUCAGCUUUGUCGUCUUUGAGGUAAAUCAUCUUUUAACUGUGGGUAGGUGGGAGAAGAGAAGCUGCGUCUUCGUUAGUUACAUCUCAGAAGACGAAAAUUUAGCUCUGUGGACAGCCUUAAUGUGAUAAGACUUAUUCAUUAUUAUAAUUGGUAAUGAAUGGGGGACUUUUUUUUUAAGGUGUCACAUAGGAAUUAAAAGGGAUACUAUUUGUGAUUUUAAAUCAUUGGAUUGUUGAUAUAUGAGCCAUAUGAUAAGAUUAAAAAUGAAUGAAAAUUGAAAAGGGGAAAACCCUGAAAGGUUAGAGCAUGGUGGGUCUUUAAAACCCAUAAUCUCAUAGCUGGAUUGUUGUUAUCUCCCCACCCCACCCCUUUUUUUUUUUUUUUUGAAUGUGCUGAAUUGGACAAGGUAUUGGGAUUCACACCUUAAUUUUGAAAAAUAAUAAAAGAUCCUUUGGUAUGAAACAUUAUUUUAAUAUAAUUUGUAUCAGCACAGGGGGUGAUGCUCUGAAUUAAAGCUCAGUUCCAGAACCACACAGCCAAAGAGGAAAGAUGGAAAUGCACUGUUAUAUGUUGGGGGGAAAAAAGUGAGGUGGUGCAGCUCUGUAUUAAAACUCAGGGACCGAAUUAACAGCCAAAAGGGAUUGGUGAAAAUGUAGUGCCUUAUUCAGAUCCAUAAAAGAAAAAAAAAGGGCAAAAAAGUGAUUCCAUUCAGUGCCUUGAUCUGCUCAGUGGUGAACCUUUGAAUUAAAACUCAGGUAUUAAACCAAUACAGCCAAAGAGGAAAUGUGGGGAAUGCUGUGCCUUCUGUGGCUCUAAAAUAAGGAAAACCAGGCAAAAAAAAUCUCAUUCAGUGCCUUGUUCUGCUCAGUGGUGAUCCUUUGAAUUAAAACUCAGGUAUUAAACUAAUAUAACUAAAGAGCAAAGAGGGAAAUGAUGUGCCUUCUGUAGCUCUAAAAUAAGGAAAACCAGGCAAAAAAUAAUCCCAUGCAGUGCCUUGUUCUGCUCUAUGGUCAUCCUUUGGACUAAAGCUCAGGUAUUUAACCAAUAUAUCCAAAGAAAAAAAGGGGGAAAUACAGUGCCUUCUCAGGCUCCAUAAAGUGGAAAAAAACCGGGUAAAAUAUGCAGUGCCUUGAUUUGCUCAGUGGUGAACCUUUGAAUUAAAACUCAGGUAUUAAACCAGUACAGCCAAAGAGGAAAUGUGGGGAAUGCUGUGCCUUCUGUGGCUCUAAAAUAAGGAAAACCAGGCAAAAAAAAGUCUCAUUCAGUGCCUUGUUCUGCUCAGUGGUGAUCCUUUGAAUUAAAACUCAGGUAUUAAACUAAUACAACUAAAGAGCAAAGAGGGAAAUGCAGUGCCUUCUCAGGCUCCAUAAAUAGGAAACAAAACGGGUAUUAAAAUUAUUUCCAUACAGUGCCUUUUUUUGCUCAGUGGUGAACCUUUGAAUUAAACUCAGGUAUUAAACCAAUACAGCCAAAGAAGAAAGGGAAAAAUGUAGUGCCUUCUCUGGCUCCAUAAACAGGAAACAAAACGGGUAUUAAACUAUUUCCAUGCAGUGCCUUGAUUUGCUCAGUGGUGAACCUUUGAAUUAAAACUCAGGUAUUAAACCAAUACAACUAAAGAGCAAAGAGGGAAAUGCUGUGCCUUCUGUGGCUCUAAAAUAAGGAAAAAGCAGGCAAAAAAGUAAUCCCAUGCAGUACCUUUAUCUGCUCAGUGGUGAUCCUUUGAAUUAAAACUCAGGUACUAAACCAAUUCAGCCAAAGAGGAGAGGGGGAGAUGCAGUGCCUUCUCAGGCUCCAUAAAGAGGAAACAAAACGGGUAUUAAAAUUAUUUCCAUGCAGCGCUUUGAUUUGCGCAGUGGUGCAGCUCUGUAUUAAAACUCAGGGACUGAACCAAUACAGCCAAAGGGGAUUGGUGAAAAUGAAGUGCCUUAUUUUGUUCCACAAAAAGAAAAAAAACGGGCAAAAAAGUAAUUGCAGAAGUGCCUUGUUCUGGUGUUUAUGCCCAAAUAUAAGGUCAAUUUCUGUGAAGAAACCAGGCAGAGCUGUGGGAGAAAACAGGUAUUCUCAUUUUUGUUCCCCUUCAAUAUUCUACAGAAGACAAGUUUAUCUUGCUUUUCUAAAAUUCCAUAUGUCUCCUCAAAUUCUUUCUUGGUUAUUUUCAUGAUUACAUUUAUCUAAGGCUAUAAGGAUGAAACUGAGAGGCUCCACUGUUAAACCAUUCCUAGCUUUUUUCUGUUGUAAGGCAUUUAAUUUUUCCUUCAAGUAUGUGAAUGCUGUACCAUUUGAUGUGCAUAUGUGUGUGUGUGUGUGUGUGUGUGUGUGUAUAUAUAUAUAUAUAUAUAUAUAUAUAUAUAUAUUCAGUACUGAUAUUAUUAAAGUGUCUAUGAUAGCUUUAAGCAAAAUGUAGUUUCCCUGAACAUCUCUUUCAUUUGAUUCUAUUUUUAAUUUUGUUUUACUGAGAUGAUAAUUUUAACUCUGCCUGUUUUAUGUUUGGUGAAACAUGAUAGUUGCUCAUUGUAACUUUCAGUGUGUCUUUUUUUUUUUUUUUGUCUCUCUUGUAAGGAACAUAUUGUUGGGUUCUGAUUUAUAAUCCAUUCUCCUAUCCUUUACCAUUUUAUGUGUGAGUUCAUCCAUUUACAUUCACAGUUAGGACUGCUGAUAAUAUCAUUCCCUCCUUACCAUACUCUACUAUUUCUGCUUCUUUUUCUCUUUCUCUCUUUUUUUAUUACCCUAGAUACAAAUUAAUAAUGAUAUGAAGUAAAAGUACUAAAGUCUAUUUUGCUUCUGACCAAUGCCCUUCUUAAACUUUAGUACCUUCUAUUAUAGUCCCCCCAGCUCCCAGCCUCUUUUCCUCCUAUAUCCAUAUAGGAAAAUACAGAUGAAUUUCUGUACCCAAUUCUUUGUACAUAUAUAUGCUUCCCUCACUGAACUAGUUCUGAGAUGAAUGAAGACUAAACAUUCCUCCUCUCUACCUCUUAUUUUUCCUUCCAUUGUAAAAACUCUUCCAUGAGAGUCUCUAAUAUGUGAGUGAAACUUCCCUAUUCUUUUUCUCCCAUAACCCUUCUCCCAGGAUUUUGUCUGGCUCUGCAGUCCUAAAGACAGGUGGAAUGGCAGGAAUUUUUGUCUAUUUUGUUCUUCUGAUUUCAUAAGAUGGUCUAAGGGUAUAUGCUUCCAGCAUGGUGUGAUAAUUAGAGUCUGGUCACUGUCUUUAUGAACUGUGCUGUGGUCACUACUCAGGUAGAUACCUGCUUUAUCAGGACCGCCACCACUGCUUUCCACCUUGGAACUGCAUAAUGGGUGACAGAACUAAUGGCACCUGAUCCUGUGCCCAGUGUGGAAAAGGAAUCCUCUCAGUAGUCCACUUUCCAUCCCUGGGUACUGAUGCCGCUGCCUCCAGCACCACCACACACCUCACUACUGCGUGCCUUCAAGCAAUUUCUGGGGCCACACCUGCCAGGCCAAGAGCAACUGCCACUCCAGUGUCUUCAGGCCUUUUCUUCCAUCUUCCUUUUCUGCCUUUUGCUGGAAAAAGGACUCACUGUGAAUUUUUUCUGGCUUUUCCACUCAGAAAUUUUUUUAGUCUUUUCUGUGGUCUCUUUGUAUCUGAUGAGAAAAUGUACUCCAGUGUAGGGGUUUUAAAAGAACAGGUUACUUCACCCAUUAUUGUUCUAGUGAAUGAAUAGAUUGUAUUUAUAGAAAAAAACCUAUGUAAGUACAUGUGAGUGACAAAAGAAACAAUUGCUCAUUUUCAAUAAUUUAUAAGUCAUUUAGUAAAUUAAAACUGAUUUAAAAUGUAUUUAGAUCAAGAGAUGCAUUAAAAUACUGUAUUAUUUGUUUGUAUAAAAGAGUAAUCAUAAAGAGUAAUCAUAAAAGUUAUGUCCUGAAUGACCUCUUCAAUGAGUAAUUCAGAUCAAUUUUCUACUGUGAUUCUAUUUUUUUAAAAAACAAAAAAGAACACUCUUAUUGGAAUAAGGCUGCUGUAGGUAUCACUACUAUUUUUCAGAAAUGGUCACUAUUUAUUGAUUAAUUUAGCAUGCAAAAAAUUUAAAAAAUAGAAUCUAUGCAUUCAAAAUAAGGUACUGCUUAAACAUAGGUAUAAGUAAAUGUACUAUAACUCCAUAUAUAAGUGAAAAAGAAAAAAGCCAAAGUCUUAGUGUUUUGUCCCUCCUAUUAGGAGAGACAGAUAUCUGCAUUUAACAAAAAAUGAAAAAUUUUCUUUUUAAAAAGAGUAAAUCAGAGCUUUAGUAAAACUGAAGUCUUCAAACUCAAUGAGAAAAAGAGAAAAAUAUAUUUCUUUGGUGAGAUGUAAAUUUAAUAUAUAUAAUGUAUUACAUAUAUAUGUAUAUAUGUAUGUAUGUAUACAUACACGAAGAAAAUAAAUCAUGGCACUGCCUUAAUCUGGCAAGACUUUUGAUGAAGUUCUUAUUCAUGUAUAUAUUUGAUGAGGUCUUAUUUUUUUUCUUUGCUUGUUUUUGACCAAAAAGUUUUUCAGAAUUUCCUUUUACAAAGUAUACCAUUUGUGAUUUUAAAUAAUGGCUAAGGCCAAGAUAUAAUUUAAAGUAAUUCAUGAAUACCAUUUGUUGAUCUCUUUUUUUCCAUCUUUUAUUGAUAUAAAUAAGCAUUCACAGUUACACAUGUUCCCUUAAACAUUGCUGUGUCUCCAUCUCACUUUUUUGUUAUCCUAUCUUAUUUUUGUCAUUUUCUUUAAUGAAAUUAUUGACACUUGCUAUCAUGGCUUCUUUGACCCAUUCUUGCUUUGGGAGUAGAUUAUCUGACUUCCAAUUAAUUUUUAAUCUAUGCUUCAAAAGUCAUAUUUCGAAUGUAUUUUUCAUUGCAUUAUGGUUCCCAAAGGGUGCAUUUAAUAUUUUAUUUUUUUCUCCAUUUCUUUUUGAGGUGUUUUUGCCCAAAUACAAGGUCAAUUUCUGUGAAGGUACCAUGCAGAGCUGUGAGAAAAAAAACAGAAAAUUAAUCUGAAAAGAAGGACAGUGCAUGUAAUAUCUUGAAAGAACAAGGUUGCUGUAAGUAUCACUACUAUUUUUAAGAAAUGAUCACUAUUUAUCGACAAAGCACACACAAAAGAAUUCAAAAGAUACAAUUUGUGUGUUCAAAAAGGGUACCACUCAAAUAUAGAUAUAAUUAAAUGUACUAUAACUGAAGAAAUAAGUUAAAAGAAAACCCUAAGUGUGAGUGUUUUUGGCCCUCCUAUGGAGAGAGAGAUGCAUUUAACAAUGAAUAAAUCUGCCUUUUAAAAAAUAGUAAAUCAGCAACAUGCUAGUGAGAAAAAGAGAAAAAUGGGAUGAAAUGAAAAUUUUAAAUAUAUGUGUGUAUGUAUAUAAAUGUAUACAUCUAUAUACAUACACACACACACAUACACAGAGAGAGAGAGAGACAGGCAAUUGAUCACUGAACUGCAUUAAUCUGGUAAGACAUUUGCUGAAAUUAUUUUUCUUGUAAAUAUUUGAUGAGCUCUUAUUUUGUUUGCUUUAAUGAAAUUUUUGACACUUGCUAUCAUGACUUUUGUGACCCAUUUUUUCUUUAGGAAUACAUUAUUUGAUUUUCAAUUAAUUUUUAGUCUAUGCUUCAAAAGCUCUUUCUCAAUUAUAUUUUCCCAUUGCAUUAUGGUCCCUAAAGGGUGCAUUUGAUAUUUUACUUUUCUGCAUUUUUUUCUGAGGUGUUUAUACCCAAAUACAGGUCAAUUUCUUUGAAGGUCUCAUGCAAAGUUAUGGGAGGAGGGGAGUAUACUUAUUUUUGUUGUCCUUUUGAUAUUCUCCAGAAGCCAAUCUUAUCUCACUUUUCUAAAAUACCACACAUCUCCACAAAUUCUUUCAUGAUUAUUUUAUGAUUACAUUCAUUUAAGGCUGUAAAGGAGUAAAUUGAGAGGCUCCACUGUUAAACUUGCUUAGCUUUUUUCCCAUUGUAAGGCAUUUAUUUAACUUUUCUUUCAAGUAUUUGCAUGUUAUGCCAUUUGAUGCAUACAUGAAUACUGACAUCAAUUCAUUGUCUAUGGCAACUAUAAGCAAAAUGUUGUUUCCCUGAACAUCUCCUUGAAUUGAAUGUAUUUGUACUUUUCCUUUUUCUGUCAUGAUGGUUGCUAACUAACUCUGCCAGUUUUACUUCUGUUAAAAUACACUAUGUUUCAUGUCUCUCUUGUAAGCAGCAUAUUGUUAGGUUCUGAUUUCCUCUCUAUUUGUUUUAUUCUCUACUAUUUUAUGGGUGAGGUCAUCCAUUCACAUUUAUAGUUAGGACUACCAAUAAUUUCUUCCCUCCAUACCAUUCUCUACUAUUGUUGCUUCUUUCUCUUUUCUUUUCUUUUCUUUUUUACCUUGGAUAGGAAAAAAAUAGUAAUAUGAAGUUAGAGUAAAAAAUAAAGUCUGUUUUGCUUUUGACUACUGCCUCUCUUAAUCUUUAAUAUUCUUGUUAAAAAAAAAACCUAUUCCACAGUCCCUUGGGUCCAUAUUGGGAAAUAGAUAUAAAUUUCUAAACUCAACUGUGUGUGCAUAUAUAUUCUUCCCUCAUUGAACUAGUUCAUAUGUAUGUGAAAGUCAAACAUUGCCCCUCUCUGCCCCUUAUUUUUCUUUCCAUUGUAAAAACUCUUCCAUGAGACUAUUAUGUGAGGGAACUUUUCCCAUUCUUUCUCUCCUGUCCUCUUUUCUUGAGGAUUUCCUUUCCUCUCUACCCUUCCAUUCUUCUUUGGGGAAUCAUCCUAACACAGUAUUCCCAUACUCAUGCCCACAGCUUAAGAAGACUGAUCACAGGAAUAAUUAUGAUGAUGUUCUUAUGGGUUUAAUAUGUCAUCUUCCUUCUGGGAUGGUAAUCAUUUUAACAUUGAUAAUUAUUAGGAUCUAUUACUCCCAAUUUUUCUCAUAUCAUUCUUGUUUUCAAGACAUUUUCUAAUUUGAGUUCAUGCCCCGAGUUGCCCUUUAACUAAAUUAUGUAUGCUCUGAUUCUCAUUUGUUUGCUCAUGUUUCUAGCCUACAUAUUCAUUUUGGAUUUUAUGUUUGAGUGUGACUCUGCACUCCUAUGGAUGGGAGGACUGGCCAGAGUGUCUGUCUCUUAUGUGCUUCUGCUUUCACAAGAUAAUCUAGGUAUCUGAGUUUUUUUGGCUCCUCCAACAUGUUGUGGUAAUUAGAGUCUGGCUACUGUCCUCAUGAAGUGGGCUGUAGUUGCUACUGAGGUAGGAACCUUACUUCUUCAUGACCACCACCACUGCUUUCCACCUUGGAACUGAGACUCAAAACUGUAUAAUGGCUGAAGAAGUUUAGACAUGGCAAUUGAAUCGGUGCCCAGUGUUUGAAAAAGAAAAGGAAUCCUCUUAGUCCACUUUCCCAAAACUAGGCACCGAUUCCGCUGCCAGCACCACCACUGAUAUGCCUCACUGCUGCGUGCCUUCAAGCGACUUCUGGGGCCACACCUACCAGGCCAAGAGCAACUGCCACUCCAGUGUCUGCAGACCUUUCUUCCAUCUUCAUCUUCUGCCUUGUGCUAGAAAAAAGGGCUCACUGUGAGUUUUCCUUAGUUUUCAGACUCAGAAAUCUGUUUAGUAUUUUUUUGUGCUUGCUUUUUUGAGGGGAAAAAAUGUAUUCCAGUGCAGUGGUUUCAAAAGAACAGGUUUUUUCACCUAUUAUUGUUCUAAUGAAUAAACAGCUUAUAUUUAUGGGGAAAAGUGUAAGUACAUGUGAUUAACAAGGGAAACAAUUUCUGGUUUUAAAAUAAUUUUUAUUUCAUUUAAUAAACUAAAACAGGUUAAACAAAAAUGUAUUUAGUUCAAGAGAGGCAACAUAAAAUACCAUAAAAUUUAUAUCUGGGAAAGAGUAAUCCUGAGAAAAUGUAUGCCCUAAUUGAUAUUUUCAUUGAGUUAUAUAGUUAAUAUCCAUUUGCUAUUGUGAUUCCAAUUGUUUUUAAAAAAACUAAAAAGAAAUCUCAAAAGAAGAAAGUGCAUGUAAUGUUCUGAAAGAAUAAGGGUGCUUAUAGGUAAAACUAUUAUUUUUAAGAAAUCCCCACUAUUUAUUGAUAAAAUGAGCAUACAAAAAUUCAAAUGAUACAAUUUAUGUGUUCAAAUUGUGGUACUGCUGAAACAUAGUUUUGAGUAAAUAUACUAUUACUGAAGAAUAAAAACCCAUCAUUUGAGUGUUUUGUCCCUUCCUUGGUGAGAGGCAUUUAAAAAACAAUGAAAAAGUCUCUCUAUUAAAAAAUAGUAUAUCAGCACCAUGCUAGUGCUCUCUAAUAAAACCUAAGUCCUGAAAUAGAAUCAUUGAGAAAAAGAGAAAUUUUUUUUUUCUUUAGUGAAAUAUAUGUGUGUAUAUGUAAAUAGAUAAGCAUAUAUACAUGAAGAAAAUAAAUCAUUGCAUUGCCUCAAUCUGCCAAGACUUUUAUGGACCUUCUACUUCAUGUAAAUACUUGACUAAGCCUUAUUUUAUGUAUUUGCUUGUUUUUGACCAAGAUAUUGUUCAAAAUCUCCUCUAACAAAGUACAUAAUUUGUAAUUUAAAUAAAGACUGAGGCCAAUAUAUAAUUUGAAAUAAUUCAUGAAUACAGUUUGUUGAACUCUUUUUUUCCAUUUUAGUUGAUAUUAGUAUUUACAUUUAGAAAUGUUUCCUUAUGUAUUACAUUUGUUUCCAUUCCACAUUUUUAUUACAUUGUCUCAUUUUGGACUUUUUCUUUAAUUAAAUUACUGACACUUGCUAACAUGGCUUCUUUGACCCAUUCUUUCUUUAGGAGCAGAUUAUUUGGUUUCCAAUUAAUUUUUAAUCUAUGCUUCAAAAACUCUUUCUCAAUUGUAUAUUUCAUUGCAUUAUGGUCCCUAAAGGGUGCAUUUAAUAUUUUACUUUUCUGCAUUUCUUUCUGAGAUGUUUAUUCACAAAUUACAGGGUCAAGUUCUGUGAAGAUACCACAUAGAGAUGAGAGGGAAAAAGGGUAUACUCAUUUUUGCCUGCCCUUCAGUAUUCUUCAGAAGCCAAGCUUAUUUCACUUUUCUAAAGUUCCACACAUCUCAGAUUCUUUCUUGUUUAUAUUAUGAUUACAUUUAUCUAAGGCUAUCAAGAACAAAAUUGAGGGGCUCCACUCUUAAAGCUUUCCUAGGUUUUUCCCAUUGUAUGUCACUGAAAUUUUACUUCAAGUAUUUGUGCCAUUUAAUGAAUAUAUGUUCAGUACUGAUAUUAAUUCAUUAUCAAUGGCAACUUUAAGUAAAAUAUAGUUUCUUUAAACGUUUUUUUGAAUUGUGUCUAUUUGCACUUUUCCUUUGUGUGAGAUGAUAAUUGCUAACUGCCUGUUUUACUUCUGUUGAUACAUGCUACAUUCUUAUUGUAACUCUCUGUCUUUCUGUUUCGUGUGUCUCUUGUUGUAAUCAACAUCUGACAAUAGUCAGAUGUGAUUUCUAAUCAUCCAUUUAUUCUCUACCAUUUUAUGGGUGAAUUCAUCCAUUCACAUUCAUGCUUGGGACUGCUUAUAGUAUCUUUCUCUCUAUACCAUUCUCUUCUAUUUAUGCUUCACUCUCGCUCUUGCUCUCACUCUUUUUUACCCUAGAUAGGAAAAAAAGAGUAAUAAGUGUCUUUUUGCUUCUGACCACUGCUUCUCUUAAUCUUUACUACUUUCUAUUAUAGCCCUCUCCACCCCCACAACCUACAACCUCCUACAACUGUAUUGGGAAAUAUAAAUGAAUGUCUAGACCCAACUGUGUGUCCAUAUAUAAUCUCCCCUCACUGCGUCAGUUCAGAUGUACAGGAGGACUAAACAUUCUCCUCUCUGUCCUUUAUUUUCCCUCUCAUUAUAAAAACUCUUCCAUGAGUCUCUAAUAUGUGAGUUUCCCUAUUCUUUCUCUCAUCUUCCUUCUCCCAGAGUUUUUUUUUUUCUUCCUUUUUCACUUUUCCAUUCUUCUUUGGAGCUCAUCCUUAUACAAUAUCCCCACGCCCAUGGCCACAGCUUAAGUAGACUCCUCACUGACAUAAUAAUGAGGAUGUUCUUAUGAGCUUCAUGGGUCAUUUUCUGAGAUAGAAAUCAGUUUAACAUUGUUAAUUGUUAUGAUUUCUUACUCCCAAUAUUUCUUAUAUCACUCUUGUUUUCAAGACAUUGUCUUCUAGUUGCCCUUUCACUAUAUUAGUUUUGUAUGCUCUGAUUCUCUUUUGUUUGCUCAUGUUUCUAGCCUACAUAUUCAUUUUGGAUUUUAUGUGUGAGUCUGACUCUGCAAUCCUAAGGAAGGGAGAACUGGCCAGAGUUUCUGUUAAUUAUGUAUUUUUGAUUUCACAAUGUGAUUUAGGUGUCUGUGGGUUAUUUGACUGUGUGAUGGUGUGAUGAUUAGAGUCUGGUCACUGUCCUUAUGAACUGGGCUGUGGUCACUACUCAGGUAGGACACCUGCUUUAUCAUGACCACCACCACUGCUUUCCACCUUGGAACUGCGACUCAAAACUGGGUAAUGGGUGACAGAGCUAAUCAGUGGCCCUGAUUCUGUGCCUAGUGUUUGUAAAGGCAUCCUCUCAGUAAUCCAUUUUCCAUCCCUGGGUACUGAUGCCGGUGCCUCCAGCACCAACACACACCUCACUGCUGCGUGCCUUCAAGCGCCUUCUGGGGCCACACCUGCCAGGCCAAGAGCAACUGCCACUCCAGUGUUUGCAGGCCUUUUCUUCCAUCUUCCUUUCUGACUUUUGCUGGAAAAAGGACUCACUGUGAGUUUUUCCUAGUUUUCUCACUCAUAAAUCAAUUUAAUCUUUUCUGUGCUCUCUUUGUAUAAGAGGUAAAAAAAAAAAAAGAGAGAGAGAGAGAAAAGGUACUCCCAGUGCAGUAGGUUUAAAAGGACAGGUUGCUUCACCUAUUAACACUCUAGUGAAUGAACAGGGUGUAUUUAUGGAAAAAAUAUAUAAGUACAUUUGAUCGACAAGGGAAGCAAUUUUUGAUUUUCAAUAACUUAUAUGUAAUUUAGUAAACUAAGAUUGAUUAAAGAAAAGUGUAGUUUGGUCAAAAGAUGCAUCAUAAAAUGUCACAUAAUUUGUAUCUAGAAAAAAGUAUUCCAGUGAAAAUAUAUGUCCUGAAUGACAUAUUCAAAGAGUUAUAAUUAAUAUCAAUUUUCCAUUGUGUUUCCUUUUUUUUUUUAAAACAGAAAAGAAAUCUGAAAAGCAGGAGAGUGCAGGUAAUGUCUUGAAGGAAGAAGACUGCUGUAGGUAUCACUACAAUUUUUGAGAAAUUGUGACUUUAUUGACAAAGUUAGCACACAAAUUCAAAAGAAACAAUUUAUGUGUUUAAAACAGGGUACUACUCAAACAUAGAUAUAACUAAAUGUAGUAUUAGGGAAGAAACAAGUGAAAAAGAAAAAACCCAAAGUCUGAGUAUUUUGUUCCUCCUAUGGGGGAGAUAUGUGAAUUCAGCAAACAAUGGAAAAAAGUCUCUUUUGAAAAAUAGUAAAUCAGCACUAUGCAAGUUCUGUUUAGUAAAACUCAAGUCCUGAUGUAGAGUUACUGAGAAAACAGAAAAAUAUAGUCCUGUGGUGAGAUGAAAAUCUAUAAAUUCUGUUUGUGCAUGCUUGUGUGUGUGUGUGUGUGUGUGUGUGUGUGUGUGUAUGUAUGUGUAUACACACACAAAGAAAAUAGAUUCCUGCACUGCCUUAAUCUGUUGAGACAUUUCCUGAAUUUCUUGUUCUUGUCAAUAUCUGGCAAGGUCUAAUUUUGUUUGUUGACUUGUUUUUGACCAAUAGAUUGUUCAUAAUUUAGUUGUACAAAGCAUACCAUUUGUAAUUUUAAAUAAUGGCCAAGACCAAAAUAUAAUUUAAAGUAAUUCAUGAAUGCAAUCUAGUCAGUCCUUUUUUCAUCUUUGUUGAUUUACAGUUACAAAUAUUCCCUUCAGUGUUACACUGUCUCAUUUUGAAUCUUUUCUGUAAUGAAAUUAUUGACACUUGCUAUCUUGCUUUCUUUGACCCAUUCUUUCUUUAAGAGAUUAUUUGGUUUCCAACUAAGUUUAAUAUAUGCUUCACAAGCUUUUUCUUAAAUGUAUUUUUCAUUGCAUUUUGGUCCCCAAAGUGUACAUUUAAUAUUUGAUUUUUGUGCAUUUCUUUCUGUGGUGUUUAUGUGCAAAUACAAGAUCAGUUUCUGUGAAGGUCCCAUGCAGAACAGUAGGGAAAAUCAGAUAUACUUAUUUUUGUUGCCCUUCAGUAUUUUUCAGAAACUAAGCUUAUCUCUAAAAUUCCACAUAUCUCCUCAAAUUCUUUCUUGUUCUUUUUAUGAUUAGAUUUAUUUAAGGCUGUCAGUGAUGAAAUUGGAGGUUCCACUUUUAAAGCUUUCUCAGGUUUUUCCCAUUGUAAGGCAUUUAACUUUUCCCUCAGGUAUUUUCUUUUUGUGCCAUUUGAUACAUAUAUGUUCAAUAUUAAUUCAUUGUGACAGCUUUAAGCAAAAUGUAGUUUCCCUGAACAUUUCUUUGUAUUGGGUCCUUUGUACUUUUCCUUUGAGAUGGUGAUUGUUAACUCUGCCUGUUUUACUUCUACUGAAACACAUUCGAUGUUUAUUGUAACUCUGUGUCUUUCUGUUUUAUGUCUCUCUUGUAAGCAACAUAUUGUUGGGUUCUGAUUUCUAAUCUGUUUUCCUAUAUUUCAUGGGUGAGUUCAUCCAUUUACAUUCACAGUUAGGACUUCUAAUAGCACCUUUCCCUCCAUAUAUUUCUCUACUAUUUGUGCUUCUUUCUCUCUCUUUUUUUAUCCUAGAUAAGAUUUAAUAAUGAUAUGAACUAAGAGUACAAAAGUCUUGUUUGGCUUCUGAGCACUACCUGUCUUAAACAUUUCUACCAGCUCCACUCCACCACCACAGACCCUUGGCCUUCUACAUCUGUACAGAGAAAUACAGAUGAAUAUCUAAACCCAAGUGUGUGCAUAUAUACUCUUCUCCCAUUGCACCAGUUCAGAUGUGUGUUAGGAUGAAACAUUGCCUCUCUUUGCCUCUCAUUUUUCCUUCCAUUGUAAAAGCUCUUCCAUGAGAGUCUCUAGUAUGUGAGUCAACUUUCUCCAUUCUUUCUCUCCUGUCUACUUUUUUGUAGGGUUUCCUUUAUUUUCGUACUCUUCCAUUCUCCUUUGGAGAUCAUCCUAACAAAAUUUUCUCAUACCCAUGUCCAAUGCUUAAGUAGAUUUCAUCAUAAUGAUGAUGAUGUUCUUAUGGAUUUCAUAUGUCAUCUUCCUUUUGAGAUAGUAAUCAUUUUAACAUUGGUAAUUUUUAGGAUCUAUAACUCCCAAUUUUUUUCAUAUCAAUUUUUUUCAAGACACUGCCUACUUUUGCUCCCGUUUCUUUUUGUUUACUCAUGUUUCUAGCCUACAUAUUCAUUUUGGAUUUUAUGUUCGAGUGUGACUCUGCAAUUCUAUGGAUGGGAGGACUGGCUGGUAUUUCUGUCUAUUUUAUACUUCUGUACACUUCUGAUUUCACAAAAUAAUCUAGGCAUUUGUGGUUUUUUGGGGCUCUUCCAGCUUGUUGUGAUAAUUAGAGUCUGGCCACUGAUCUCAUCAACUGAGCUGUGGUUACUGCUAAGAUAGGACCCUUACUUCUUCAUGACCAACAACACUGCUUUCCACCUUGGAACUGCAACUCAGAACUGGGUAAUGGCUGACCAAGUUUAUAAAUGGCAAUUAAAUCGGUGCCUAGUGUUUGAGAAGGAAAAGGAAUCAUCUUAGUAGUCCACUUUCCCAAAACUAGGCACCGAUUUCGCUGUCACCACCUCCACCACUACCACCACCAGAACCAUCACGACCACACCUCACUGCUGCAUGCCUUCAACACCUUCUGGGGCCACAUCUGCCAGGCCAAGAGCAGCUGCCACUCCAGUAUCUACAGGCCUUUCUUCCAUGUGCUAAAAAAAGGAUUCACUGUGUGUUUUGCUAGGUGUGUGCAUUCAGAAAUCUGUUUAGUAUUUUUGGGGCUCUCUUUGAAAAAUAAGUGCAUUUCAAUAUAGUGGUUUCAAAGGAACAGGUUGUUCCAUCUAUUAUUGUUCUAAUGAAUGAAUGGGUUAUGUUUACGGAAAAAAACAAUCUAAGUACAUAUGAUUGACAAGGAAAGCAAUUUCUGGUUUUCAAUAACUUAUAGGUCAUUUAAUAAACUAAAACUGAUUAAACUAAAAUGUUUUUAGAUCAAGUGAUGCAACAACAUGAAAAAUUGUAUAAUUUUUAAUCUGUAAAAGAGUAAUCCACUGAAAAUGUAUGUCCAGACUGACAUAAAAUAUGUCAGUUAACAUCAAUUUCCUAUUGUGGUUCCAAUUUUCUCAAAAACCAGAAAAGAAAUAUGAAAAGAUGGACAGUACAUGCAAUUAUUUGAAAGAACAAGGCUGCUGUAGGUAUCAUUAUUAUUUUUAAUAAAUGGUCACUAUUGACAAAGUUAGCACAUAAAAAAAUCAAAACAUACGAUUUAUGUGUUCAAAAUUGGUACUGCUCAAACAUAGAUAUAACUAAAUGUAGUAUUACAGGAAAAAAUAAGUGAAAAAGAAAAAACCCAAAGUAAGAGUGUUUUGUCCCUCCUCUGGGGAGAGACACAUGAAAUUAACAAUAAAAAAAUCUCUCUUGAACAAUAGUAAAUCUGCACUUAUGCAAGUGCUUUUUAGUAAAACACAAUCAUGAUACAGAGUCACUGAGAAAAAGAGAAAAAUUUAUUGAUUUGGUGAGAUAAAAAUCUAAAAUAUAUGUGUGUAUGUAUGUAAAUACUUAUACAUAUAUAUAUAUAUAUGAAAAUAUGUGUAUGUGUAUAUGCUAUAUAUAUAUAUACACACACAAAUAAAAUAAAUCACUGCAUUGUCAUAUUUGUUGAAGAUCUCAUGCCUGUAAAUACCUAACAAGGUCUUCUUUUGUUUGCUUGUUUUUGACCAACAAGUUGUUCAGAAUUUAGUUUUACAAAGUAUACCAUUUGUGAUUUUAAAUAAUAACCAAGACCAAUAUAGAAUUUAAAGUAAUUCAUGAAUUACUUUACAAUUUGCUGGGGUCUUUUUUUCCAUCUUUUAUUGAUAUAUACAUUUACAGUUAGAAAUGUUCGCUUCAGGUUCUAUCCCACAUUUUUGUUAUGCUAUCUCAUUUUGUUCCUUUUCUUUAAUGAAAUUAUUGACAUUUGUUAUCAUGGCUUCUUUGAUCCAUUCUUUCUUUAGGAGAAUAUUAUUUGGUUUCCAAGUAAUUUUUAAUGUAUGCUUCACAAGCUGUUUCUUGAAUGUAUUUUUCAUUACCUUAUAGUCCUCAAAGGAUGCAUUUAAUAUUUUACUUUUUUACAUUUCUUUCUGUGGUGUUUAUGCCCAAAUACAAGGUUAAUACCUGUGAAGGUGCCAUAGAGAACUAUGGAGAAAAAAAAGUUAUACUUAUUUUUGCUGCCUUUCAGUAUUCUUCAGAAUCCAAGCUUAUGUCAUUUUAAUAAUGAUUAAUUAUUAAAUAAUAAUUAAUAAUGAUUAGUAAUUCUUUCUUGUUUUUUUUAUGAUUUCAUUUAUCUAAGGCUGUGAAAGAUGAAAUUGAGGGGCUCCACUGUUAAAGCUUACCUAGCUUUUUUAUAUUGUAAGUCAUUUAACUUUUCCUUCAACUAUUUGGAUGUUGUGCCACUUGACGUACAUAUGUUCAGUACUGAUAUUUGUCUAAAACAGGUUUUAGUAAAAUGUAUUUUCCCGGAACAUUUCUUUGAAUUGGAUCUAUUGGCACUUUUCCUUUGUCUGAGAUGAUGAUUGCUAACUCUGUUUUAUUUCUGGUGAAACACAAUAGAUUCUUAUUGUAACUUUCAGUGUUUCUUAUUAUUUCUUUUGUAAGCAACAUAUUGUUGGGUUCUGAUUUCUAAUCCAUUCACCUAUCCUCAACCAUUUUAUUUGUGAAUUCAUCCAUUUACAUUUACAGUUAGGAUUGCUAAUAGUGUCUUUCCCUACAUCCCAUACUCUUAUUAUUUCUGCUUCUUUCUCUCUUUCUCUUUUUUUUUAACCCUUGAUACCUAUUAAUAGUGAUAUGAACAGAAUACAAAAGUCUAUUUUGCUCCUGGGCACUUCCUGUGUUAAACUUUACUACCUUCUAUUAUACCUCCACUCACCCCUACCCCCACAGUCCCUUGCCCUCCUACAUCUGUAUUGAGAUGAUGAAUUUAUCAACUCAACUGUGUGUGCAUAUAUACUCUUCUCUUGCUGCACCAGUUCAGAUGUUCAUUGGGACCAAACAUUGCCUCUCUCUGCUCCUUAUUUUUCCUUUAAUUGUAACAACUCUUCCAUGAGAGUCUCUGUUAUCUGAAGGAACUUUCUCCAUUCUUUCUCUCCUGUCCACUUUCUCCCAGGAUUUCUUUUAUUUUUCACCCUUCUUUCUUCUUUGGAGUUCAUCCUAACCCAAUAUUCUCACACCCAUGCCUGCUGCUCAAGUAGAUUCCUCCUCACUGUCAUAAUGAUGAUGAUGUUCUUAUGGGUUUCAUAUGUCAUCUUCCUUCUGGGAAUGUAAACAGUUUAACCUGGGUAAUUGUUUUGAUCUCUUACUCAUAAUUUUUCUCAUAUCACUCUUAUUUUAAAGGUAUUAUCUUCUUCUAAGUUCUUGCCCUGAUUUUCCAUGUAACCAUAUUAAUUUUGUAUCUACAGGUUCUCUUUUGUUUGCUCAUAUUUCUGGCCUACUUAUUAAUUUUAGACUUUAUAUUCAGAUGUGGCUCUAUCCUCCUGUGGAUGGGAAAGUUGGCCAGAGUGUCUGUCUCUUAUGUGCUUCUGCUUUCACAAGAUAAUCUAGGCAUCUGAGUUUCUUUUUGGUUCCUCCAACAGGUUGUGGUAAUUAGAGUCUGACUACUGUCCUCAUGAAGUGGGCUGUAGUUACUACUGAGGUAGGACCCUUACUUCCCCUUACUUCUUCAUGACCACCACCACUGCUUUCCACCUUGGAACUACGACUCAGAACUAUGUAAUGGCUGAAGAAGUUUAGACAUGGCAAUUGAAUCGGUGCCCAGUGUUUGAAAAAGAAAAGGAAUCCUCUUAGUCCACUUUCCCAAAACUAGGCACCGAUUCCGCUGCCAGCACCACCACUGAUAUACCUCACUGCUGUGUGCCUUCAAGCGACUUCUGGGGCCACACCAGCCAGGCCAAGAGCAACUGCCACUCCAGUGUCUGCAGACCUUUCUUCCAUCUUCAUAUUCUGCCUUGUGCUAGAAAAAAGGGCUCACUGUGAGUUUUCCUUAGUUUUCAGACUCAGAAAUCUGUUUAGUAUGUUUUUGUGCUCGCUUUUUUGAGGGGAAAAAAAAUGUAUUCCAGUUCAGUGGUUUCAAAAGGACAGAUUGUUUCACCUAUUGUUGUUCUAAUGAAUAAACAGAUUGUUUUUUUAUGUGAAAAA